GCCAGCAGCCAUAUCACUCUGCAACUCACAACUGGCAACCCACUGAAGCUAAGCACACGUGAACCUGGUCAGUACCUGGAUGGGAGACCUCUUGGGAAAAACUAAGGUUGCUGCUGGAA
rnacentral:rRNA from 1 species